CCUAGGGGCUCUGAGAGGAGAAUCCCCCACACUGGUACUGAGACACGGACCAGACUCCUACGGGAGGCAGCAGUAAGGAAUAUUGGUCAAUGGAGGCAACUCUGAACCAGCCAUGCCGCGUGCAGGAUGACUGCCCUAUGGGUUGUAAACUGCUUUUGUCAGGGAAUAAACCUUUCUA
rnacentral:rRNA from 1 species